UCUCCCUGUUCCCUCAACCUCUGAGACCUUUACUUUCUACAUUACAUUUUUUAUUCUGUUCAGAUUCUAAGCCAAUAAUAUAUUGCUUUAAAAUUAAAAAUAAAAUGCAUCAAAAAUUUUUAAAGUGCUUUCAUAGUUACUACCUAAGUUUAUUCAUGCCAAAAAAAACUAUGCAGAAAGCUUUAAAUAAUGGCCUACUCAAAGCUUCCCUAUGAUGAGAUACCAUUAUCUCUUUUUUAUAGACGAGAAAGCUGGGUCAUUGAGACAUUCACAAAUUUGUCCAAUUUCUCCCAGCUCAUGAAUGGUAAAGCUAGAAUUCAGAGCCAGAGCUGCUUUUAUCCUCUUUACUGAUUCCACUUAUUUAGCUAAUCUUUCUAAAAAUUUAUGAAGCAAAGAGGGAAGGUUUUAAUGUAAAGUUGUCAGUGACAGAGAUUUGAGUUAACUGGGUCAGGAUUACUGAUUUUAAGUCCAUGAUUGUUCCUACUUUGGCCAGUGUGCACACAAGGAGAGAUCAAUCUGCUCCACUUAAAGUUCACAUUAACGAAAGUGUUUUUCCACGUUUCCUAUACCUGUUUCAUAUUAACUUGCAAGUAUUUUUUUAACUUCUUAAGAAAGCAAAUAUCUCUGAACAUUAAGAAAAUUCUGAAAAUGCUCCAUCUUUCUGCAAGAUAUAAACUACUCUUUAACUGGGCUGAAAGUUAAUAGUUAAAAGAUUGUAUCAGCCCAAAACCAUAAAAAAGGCAAAUGUUUUUCCAGUUUGUCUGCUUGCAAAUCUUGGUGCCCUUUACAGAAAUUCGAUAAGACUGGCAUUCUAAAUUAGAAAUGCAUGUGAAUAGAACAUUUAAUUUGAUACUGCAGUAAUUUGAUUAAAUGCACAAAGGGAGUUGUGUGGAUUAAUUGAAGAAGCACUGGAAUAUCAGCUUUGGGAAUGAACUUCAAUCUCAUCAUGGGUCCUAGAUGAAAUGAUAUUGCUAGUAUUGACUAUGCUUCCUGUGAUUAAAUAUUUAUGAGGCAGCUUAGUUUACUAAAUAUAACAUUUAAUACAGCUUCAACUUAUUGCUACCUUUUCUUUCAAUCCCUAGAGUGAAAUUUUUCUUAGCCUGGCUUCUUAAAACUAAAAAAAUAUUUAAAAACUAAAACUUUAGCUAGUUUCUUAUCUUUAUAUUCAUCACCCCUUGUUCCACUGAAAAAAAACAAACAGGGAAUCACACUAUUUUAAACGACUACUGCAUUUUGUCAUUUCUUUACUUUCCUUUAGCUGACACCUUGUGUGGAAUUAAAGAAUGCAGAGAAUCAGUAUUAACUCUCGGGAUCCUGGACCUAGUGUAAAUGGAGCUCUCUACGAACUCUUCAGGAGUCCCUCAACUUACCCAUCAAAAUGUUUUACAGAUUGCAUCAUCUUGAGAUGAGCAGCUGCUUCAUCUUUGGUAAGAAGAAUGCAGUUCCAGGGGGACCACUCCAGGGAUUUAUUCCAUCUGACCAUGACCAGAUCACUGAGAUUGUCGCAAGCACUGAGGACUGACUGGGACGCCCAGAUGUUCUCUGUCAGGAGAAAUCUGACUAAUACAACAUGGAAUAUUGAGCCAGCACUUCUUGGUGACUUACAUUAAAGCCCUAGUACAUCUAAGAUUCUCUACAAGGAAAUAUACAUCUGUCAUGUCAAUAAUUCCUGAAUAAAAGUAGCAAAUAAGAAUUUAAGCUGAAAUAAACAUCAAAUUUAUUAACAAAAUAUUCAUUCUAUUGGACAAAAUAUGUAAUCAUUUUAAUUUGUGCUUUUCAAACUGUGGGUUGCUACCUCUUGGGUGAUACCAAAGUUUUCCAAAUGGAAAUCAGAAUAAGUAGACUGAGAUUGAAUAGAAAAUAUCAGAGUACAUCCAUAGGGGUAAAGAUAAACACUAUUUUGGAAACUUUUAUUUCUGAGGCAGAACAGCAUGUGUUUACAUGUACGGAUGCUGGGAAUCAGACUGCCUAGUUUUCAAUCCUGGUGCUGGUACUUAGUAGCGUAAACUUGGACAAGUUAGUUAACCACUCAGUGCUUCCCUUUCCUCACCUGCAGAAUGGAAAUAAUGCCUAUUUUGAUAGGAUUUUUGUG
rnacentral:lncRNA from 1 species